UACGAAGGGGGCUAGCGUUGUUCGGAGUUACUGGGCGUAAAGGGCGCGUAGGCGGCCUUGCAAGUCGGGCGUGAAAUCCCUGGGCUCAACCCGGGAAUGGCGCACGAGACUGCGGGGCUUGAGUGCGGGAGAGGAUGGUGGAAUUCCCAGUGUAGAGGUGAAAUUCGUAGAUAUUGGGAAGAACACCGGUGGCGAAGGCGGCCAUCUGGUCCGCAACUGACGCUGAGGCGCGAAAGCGUGGGGAGCAAACAGG
rnacentral:rRNA from 1 species